GUGUCAGCCGCCGCGGUACUACGAAGGGGGCUAGCGUUGCUCGGAAUUACUGGGCGUAAAGGGCGCGUAGGCGGUCAUUUUAGUCAGGCGUGAAAUUCCCGGGCUUAACCUGGGGACUGCGCUUGAUACUGGGUGACUAGGGUGGAAGAGGGUCGUGGAAUUCCCAGUGUAGAGGUGAAAUUCGUAGAUAUUGGGAAGAACACCGGUGGCGAAGGCGGCGACCUGGUCCAUUACUGACGCUGAGGCGCGACAGCGUGGGGAGCAAACAGGAUUAGAUACCCCGGUAGUCC
rnacentral:rRNA from 1 species